rnacentral:rRNA from 1 species
AAUGAACGUUGGCGGCAUGGAUUAGGCAUGCAAGUCGAGCGAGAAGGGUUUUGAAGCUUGCUUUAGAACCCGGAAAGCGGCGCAAGGGAGAGUAACGAGUAGUUAUCUACCCCAAGGCCCGGAAUAGCUGCGGGAAACUGCAGGUAAUGCCGGAUAAUAUCCCCGGAUCAAAGGUGUGAUUCCGCCUUGGGAGGAGACUGCUUUGUACUAGCUAGUUGGUAGGGUAAUGGCCUACCAAGGCUACGAUGCAUAGCGGGAGUGAGAGCGUGGCCCUCCACACUGGGACUGAGACACUGCCCAGACACCUACGGGUGGCUGCAGUCGAGAAUCUUCGGCAAAGGGCGAAAGCCUGACCGAGCGAUGCCGCGUGCGGGAUGAAGGCCCUCGGGUUGUAAACCGCUGUCGUAGAGGAGAAAGGUCUGAUGAAGAAUCAGAUUUGAUCUAUUCUAGGAGGAAGUCGGGGCUAAGUUCGUGCCAGCAGCCGCCGUAA